rnacentral:lncRNA from 1 species
AAAUUUUUUUACAGAGAACCAAACAUCAGAAAAAUAUUUUUCAAGUAAAAAUUAAUUUUCAGAGUACUUUUACAGCAAACCAAACACCCCCUUAGCGUCCAUUUGGUAUAACUUUCUUUUUUUUUAAUUUUGAGAGAAAAAUAGUAUGCUAUUCACUUCGUUUAUUUCAUUUAGAAAUAAACUUAGCUGAAAAUGUGAAUCAACUAGUAUUCAAACAUGAGUCUCGGGUAUCAACUAUCAAGUCUUUUUACCACUUGCGCAAGGGACGGUUGGUCCAUUUGGUAUAACUCAAUAAAUAAUUUUCAUAUGU